rnacentral:rRNA from 1 species
AACGAACGCUGGCGGCAUGCCUAAUACAUGCAAGUCGAACGAGAUCUUCGGGUCUAGUGGCGCACGGGUGCGUAACGCGUGGGAAUCUGCCCUUGGGUUCGGAAUAACAGCGGGAAACUGCUGCUAAUACCGGAUGAUGACGAAAGUCCAAAGAUUUAUCGCCCAAGGAUGAGCCCGCGUAGGAUUAGGUAGUUGGUGAGGUAAAGGCUCACCAAGCCGACGAUCCUUAGCUGGUCUGAGAGGAUGAUCAGCCACACUGGGACUGAGACACGGCCCAGACUCCUACGGGAGGCAGCAGUAGGGAAUAUUGGACAAUGGGGGCAACCCUGAUCCAGCAAUGCCGCGUGAGUGAUGAAGGCCUUAGGGUUGUAAAGCUCUUUUACCCGAGAUGAUAAUGACAGUAUCGGGAGAAUAAGCUCCGGCUAACUCCGUG